rnacentral:sRNA from 1 species
UCGCAGCCCGGCUUGAGCGGAAAUCCUUUUUUCCUGUGGCCAAUGCUGGUGGCAAAAAAGAUUGGGAACGGAAGACGGAAACAGC